UGCAAGUCGAGCGGACGGAUGGGAGCUUGCUCCCAGACCGUCAGCGGCGGACGGGUGAGUAACACGUGGGCAACCUGCCUGUAAGACUGGGAUAACUCCGGGAAACCGGGGCUAAUACCGGAUAAUUCUUUCCCUCACAUGAGGGAAAGCUGAAAGAUGGCAUCUCGCUAUCACUUACAGAUGGGCCCGCGGCGCAUUAGCUAGUUGGUGAGGUAACGGCUCACCAAGGCCACGAUGCGUAGCCGACCUGAGAGGGUGAUCGGCCACACUGGGACUGAGACACGGCCCAGACUCCUACGGGAGGCAGCAGUAGGGAAUCUUCCGCAAUGGACGAAAGUCUGACGGAGCAACGCCGCGUGAGUGAUGAAGGUUUUCGGAUCGUAAAACUCUGUUGUCAGGGAAGAACAAGUACCGGAGUAACUGCCGGUACCUUGACGGUACCUGACCAGAAAGCCACGGCUAACUACGUGCCAGCAGCCGCGGUAAUACGUAGGUGGCAAGCGUUGUCCGGAAUUAUUGGGCGUAAAGCGCGCGCAGGCGGUUCCUUAAGUCUGAUGUGAAAGCCCCCGGCUCAACCGGGGAGGGUCAUUGGAAACUGGGGAACUUGAGUGCAGAAGAGAAGAGUGGAAUUCCACGUGUAGCGGUGAAAUGCGUAGAGAUGUGGAGGAACACCAGUGGCGAAGGCGACUCUUUGGUCUGUAACUGACGCUGAGGCGCGAAAGCGUGGGGAGCAAACAGGAUUAGAUACCCUGGUAGUCCACGCCGUAAACGAUGAGUGCUAAGUGUUAGAGGGUUUCCGCCCUUUAGUGCUGCAGCAAACGCAUUAAGCACUCCGCCUGGGGAGUACGGCCGCAAGGCUGAAACUCAAGGAAUUGACGGGGGCCCGCACAAGCGGUGGAGCAUGUGGUUUAUUUCGAAGCAACGCGAAGAACCUUACCAGGUCUUGACAUCUCCUGACACCCUAGAGAUAGGGCGUUCCCCUUCGGGGACAGGGAUGACAGGUGGUGCAUGGUUGUC
rnacentral:rRNA from 2 species